AACGAACGCUGGCGGCAUGCCUAACACAUGCAAGUCGAACGAGACCUUCGGGUCUAGUGGCGCACGGGUGCGUAACGCGUGGGAACCUGCCCUUAGGUUCGGAAUAACUCCCCGAAAGGGGUGCUAAUACCGGAUAAUGUCUUCGGACCAAAGAUUUAUCGCCUUUGGAUGGGCCCGCGUUGGAUUAGCUAGUCGGUAGGGUAAAAGCCUACCAAGGCGACGAUCCAUAGCUGGUCUGAGAGGAUGAUCAGCCACACUGGGACUGAGACACGGCCCAGACUCCUACGGGAGGCAGCAGUGGGGAAUAUUGGACAAUGGGCGAAAGCCUGAUCCGGCAAUGCCGCGUGAGUGAUGAAGGCCUUAGGGUUGUAAAGCUCUUUUACCCGGGAUGAUAAUGACAGUACCGGGAGAAUAAGCUCCGGCUAACUCCGUG
rnacentral:rRNA from 1 species